rnacentral:rRNA from 1 species
CACGUAGUUGGCCGGUGCUUCUUCUGUGCCUACCGUCACUUGCGCUUCGUCGGCACUGAAAGAGGUUUACAACCCGAAGGCCGUCAUCCCUCACGCGGCGUCGCUGCAUCAGGCUUCCGCCCAUUGUGCAAUAUUCCCCACUGCUGCCUCCCGUAGGAGUCUGGGCCGUAUCUCAGUCCCAGUGUGGCCGGACACCCUCUCAGGCCGGCUACCCGUCGUCGCCUUGGUAGGCCAUCACCCCACCAACAAGCUGAUAGGCCGCGGGCCCAUCCCACACCGCAAAAGCUUUCCCUCCCAGACCAUGCGGCCAGAAGGGUAUAUCCGGUAUUAGACCCAGUUUCCCAGGCUUAUCCCAGAGUGCAGGGCAGGUCACCCACGUGUUACUCACCCGUUCGCCACUCGAGUACCCCCGAAGGGGCCUUUCCGUUCGACUUGCAUGUGUUAAGCACGCCGCCAGCGUCGUCCGUCGUAGCCGACGGAGUCAAACUAC